AAAAAUCCUAUUCUUCUUCCACCGCUUCCAAGGAACCUCCUACACACUGUGGAAGAAAUUCGAUUUGGUGAAACCACGCAUCUGAGGUCAAACCCCAAUCUGCAAAUUCCCACAAAUUUAUUUUAAAAUUCACAAUUUUUACUUGAGAGUAAUCAACCAUGGCGAUCGCCCAAUCUAACAUGAAUCCGGCGAUCCACCUAGCAGCCACCACAUUCCGUCACCACCACCACCACCGCCUCCUCCAAUUCCGCCACUGUUUCGUCUCUCCGAGAAUUGCUUCCUUCCGCCGCCUCUCGCUCGUGUCUGCGAGAGUUAGAGCGUUCUCCACCAACGACACUCAGCCGGCCGAUGUCGAUAAGCUCCCGAACAAACCUCCGAUAUGCACCGCCGACGAGCUCCAUUACGUCACGGUCAGCAACUCGCCCUGGAAGCUCGCGCUCUGGCGCUAUAGCCCGUCGCCGCAGGCUCCACCGAGAAAUCAUCCGCUGCUGCUGUUAUCCGGUGUUGGAACAAAUGCCAUUGGAUAUGAUCUUUCUCCUGGGUCUUCAUUUGCCCGAUAUAUGUGUGGCCAAGGAUUUGACACCUGGGUACUAGAAGUUCGGGGGGCAGGAUUGAGCACCCAAGGGUCGGAUUUCAAGGAUGUAGAGAAGUCAGCUCAUGCAAUAUCUGAACAAAUGGAAGCUGCUGCAGAGAAUUUGACUAAUGCUACCUCCGUGCAGAGUAAGACUUCUCGUGCAACAUCAGAACAGAUGGAAGCUACUGCAGAUAAUACAAAUGGUGCUCCUGCCAACCAUCAAUCAACCUCAGCACUGAGCACGGAAAAAACUGAGAUUUCUGUUGUAAAUGAAGAACUAAAUGGGCUUGCUACAGUAUGGGAUGAAUCGAGACUGGUAACAGAAUUGACAGAAACCUUUACACGCUUGUCCGAACGACUUUCUGGCUUUCUUAGUGAAAGUCAAUCAAAGAUCAUGUCAGCGAAAUUUUUUGACCAAGUAUCAGAUCUUUUGGAGGGCUCAUUUAUAUAUGACCGUUUUAGUGAAGUAAGGAAGAACCUUUUAAGUUUGCUGGAGAGGAGGCAAAAAUCUGGUGUUGCUAUCCAGAUUAGGGAUCUAAGUCAAAAGUUAGUUGAUAUCAUUGAUGAAGCUCAGCGUUCAGUUUCGCCUCCACUUUUUGAUCUUUCAGAGCGUCUAAGAACAACUUUACAAGAUCUCGAGAAUCAGUUGGACUUGAUUGUCCAAUAUGACUGGGACUUUGAUCAUUACCUGGAAGAGGAUGUUCCUGCUGCGAUGGAAUACAUAAGGGCCCAAAGCAAACCAAAGGAUGGCCGGAUACUUGCUAUUGGUCACUCCAUGGGGGGAAUUUUACUAUAUGCCAUGCUAGCACGAUACAGUUCGGAAGGAAGAGAUCCUGGAUUAGCUGCCGUGGUGACAUUGGCCUCAUCACUCGACUACACAUCAUCUAAAUCAUCUCUCAAACUUCUUAUUCCUCUUGCUGAUCCUGCUCAGGCUCUGAAUGUGCCUGUUGUUCCUCUAGGCGCAUUACUAUCUGCAGCUUAUCCUCUCACGUCCAGUCCGCCUUAUGUCUUAUCAUGGAUGAAUGACUUGAUAUCAGCCCAGGACAUGAUGCACCCUGAGCUGUUAAAGAAGCUCGUUCUCAACAACUUUUGUACUAUUCCAGCAAAACUAUUAUUGCAGUUAACCACUGCUUUUAAAGAAGGAGGGCUCCGUAAUAGAAACAGUACAUUUUUUUACAAGGAUCAUCUACCUAACAGCGAGGUUCCUGUAUUAGCGCUUGCUGGAGACCGUGACUUGAUCUGUCCACCAGAAGCUGUAUACGAGACCGCGAAGACCAUUCCUGAGCACUUAGUCACCUAUAAAGUAUUUGGAGAACCUAAUGGUCCACAUUAUGCUCAUUACGAUCUGGUGGGAGGACGACUGGGAACAUAGCUCUGCUUAAUUAAGCAUUACAACAGGCAACCCCAGAGCUUGGACCACGAUCUCAUGCUCCUAUCCAGAGUGCCAGAACCACACAAGUAAAAAGUCAUGGAGAAAAGGUGAGAUUUUUAGCCCCACAAUUUCGAAAAAAGGCAAAAAAUGGCUUAUUUUACUUAGACAAGGCAGCAGAUUUGCAGACAGGGCAUGCAUUCUUCUGUAGAAGCCACUGCUUUAUGCAUUCCAUGUGAUGAUGAUGGCCACAUUUGAAGGAGGGGGGAAAAGCAAAGAGUUCACCUGGCAAAUGCUGCACUCCCAAUCUUUGUUGAUAUGUUUGAAUUUCUUUAGACAAUUGGAUAUCUCUGCUUCCUGCAACCCGGUGCCUACGUACCCAAUUCUGUCUCCCAAAUUAAGUAGCUCCUGUUGUUGCAAAGUUUAAUACUAUAGGAAUUGGAAGGGUGAGAGAUUAGGGUACAAAUAGGAAUCAAGAGUUUCUGUAAUAGCACCUCGUACGACAUAUCAUCCACGUCGAGCCUCCAGUGUUGAUAUCGGUCGUGUUGCCGGAGUAUUCUCCCCGGCAGCAGCGCUUGCCGGUUCAUCAGCAUCUGCAUUGGUCAUUACAAUAUAAUUAUAUCAAUAGAAAUUCACAAUGCAGUUUUUACA